UGGUCCUGACCUGGUACCGAAGCUGGAGC
rnacentral:piRNA from 1 species